AUACAGAGGGUGCGAGCGUUAAUCGGAAUUACGGGGCGUAAAGCGCGCGUAGGCGGCUUAUUAAGUCAGAUGUGAAAUCCCCGGGCUCAACCUGGGAACUGCAUCUGAUACUGGUAAGCUAGAGUUUUGGAGAGGGAAGUAGAAUUUCAGGUGUAGCGGUGAAAUGCAUAGAGAUCUGAAGGAAUACCAGUGGCGAAGGCGACUUCCUGGCCAAAAACUGACGCUGAGGUGCGAAAGCGUGGGUAGCAAACGGGAUUAGAGACCCUAGUAGUCC
rnacentral:rRNA from 1 species